rnacentral:rRNA from 1 species
CUACGGGAGGCAGCAGUGAGGAAUAUUGGUCAAUGGAGGCAACUCUGAACCAGCCAUGCCGCGUGAAGGAUGACGGCCCUAUGGGUUGUAAACUUCUUUUGAAUAGGAAGAAACUUAUCUACGUGUAGAUAACUGACGGUACUAUUAGAAUAAGGAUCGGCUAACUCCGUGCCAGCAGCCGCGGUAAUACGGAGGAUCCAAGCGUUAUCCGGAUUCAUUGGGUUUAAAGGGUCCGUAGGCGGAUCUUUAAGUCAGUGGUGAAAGCCGACAGCUUAACUGUCGAACUGCCAUUGAUACUGGAGACCUUGAGUACAAAUGAAGUAGGCGGAAUGAGUCAUGUAGCGGUGAAAUGCAUAGAUAUGACUCAGAACACCGAUUGCGAAGGCAGCUUACUAACAUGUAACUGACGCUGAGGGACGAAAGCGUGGGGAGCGAACAGGAUUAGAUACCCUGGUAGUCCACGCCGUAAACGAUCAUCACUCGCUGUUGGCGAUAUACUGUCAGCGGCCAAGCGAAAGUAUUAAGUGAUGCACCUGGGGAGUACGCCGGCAACGGUGAAACUCAAAG